AUCCCCUACUCUGUUGCAUAAAGCAAAGCCACUGGCUCAACAAGGCCCUUGAUUUGGAGAGUCCCUAAGUACUCAGGCUGCUCCACAUUAGUUCAGUUAAGCUAAAACUAAUGAUGUUGUGUCUUUGUGCAGACAACAUGGUUUAUGCUGAACAUCUGCUUUCUUUCUGGAAUUUGGAAUUUUGGCACAAGUUACACAAAGGGUGCCCAUGUAACCAGCUCCCACAAACACCUGGCCAUACGUCUCUAGUGAACGUCUCUGGCAAACAAGUCUACACGUGUCGUCAUGCCUUGCUGCUGGGGGAUUAGGCACAUCCUAUGGGCCCCCACUAGGGGAGGACUCUGGAUUUCACCCUCGGAUUUCACCCAACCAGCCUGGUAAAUCACAGCUAUGAAUACAAGGCUAUGCUGAGUCCUGAGAGUCCUCAUAGAGAAUCAUCGAACCCAGAGGGUGGCUCUGGGAGUAGCCCUCCGGCCUCUGCCGAUGCUGGGAGACUAACUGCCAUAAAGAUCCAGCACUGCCACCUGGCAAAACAAUCCGAGAAUAUGCCCAAGCCCAGCAGCAGCUGUGGCUGACAAUCUGGUCAGCUGUGCGUCUUGUCCCAUCCACAGACAUGACAAGUACUGAACUCUUCUGCUGUGUCUAAUGCCAUCCCAGGUGGCCCCAACAGUGACCUUGUGCAGGCACCUAGGUCAGCACAACCUUGUUUCAAUCUACGGACAUAAAUUCAUCGCCUUCUCUUGAAGCCGGAGCAGCCUUGGGUUAUGCCAUGUAGGUGAACUGAGGCCAAAGCUCUACGAUGACAAAGUCCAACAACUUAACAGUGAUCUAAACCGAGUAUAAUGUAUAUGGAAGAACAAGCCACAGAAUGUCUCUCCCUGGAGGAUGAGGAGUGCUGUGGGCCCAACCAGUGCUCCCUGUGAUUAUCAGCAAUGGCACUGAAGAUCUGCAACUCAACCCAGAUCUCUUAUGUGGGUGGUAAUGGAUAAUAAAUCAGGACAACCCACUCUGUGCACAG